rnacentral:rRNA from 1 species
CCUACGGGAGGCAGCAGUGAGGAAUAUUGGUCAAUGGACGGAAGUCUGAACCAGCCAUGCCGCGUGCAGGAAGACGGCUCUAUGAUUUUUAAACUGCUUUUGUACAAGGGUAAACCUGAAUACGUGUAUUCAGCUGAAAGUACUGUACGAAUAAGGAUCGGAUAACUCCGUGCCAGCCGCCGCGGUAAUACGGAGGAUCCAAUCGUGAUCCGGAUUUAUUGGGUUUAAAGGGUGCGUAGGCGGAUUGAUAAGUUAGAGGGGAAAUGUCCGAGCUUAACUCGGGAACUGACUCUAAUACUGUUGAUCUAGAGAGUAGAUGCGGUAGGCGGAAUGUAAGGUGUAGCGGUGAAAUGCUUAGAGAUCAUACAGAACACCGAUUGCGAAGGCAGCUUACCAAUCUAAAUCUGACGUUGAGGCACGAAAGCGUGGGGAGCAAACAGGAUUAGAUACCCGAGUAGUC